ACCACCACCGGCGAACCAGUCCCCGCGGAAACGCCGCUCGCGGCGCGCGGCCCGGGGCAGGACCCGGGGACGCGCGUCCCGGCGAGCUCCGAAACAAAACCCUCUGGGCGCGGCGAGCGCCAAGGAAUCGAAGCGGAAGAGGGCGGCCGCCUCGCCCGGUGCGGGCGCGCCCCGAGAGGGGACGCGGCACCGCGGCGGCGAGCCGCCGCCCGUCUGUGAAUCCCUUAGACGACUCUCGGCAACGGAUAUCUCGGCUCUCGCAUCGAUGAAGAACGUAGCGAAAUGCGAUACUUGGUGUGAAUUGCAGAAUCCCGGUGAACCAUCGAGUCUUUGAACGCAAGUUGCGCCCGAGGCCGCCCGGCCGAGGGCAAGCCUGCCUGGGCGUCACGCCACCCGUCGCCCCCCGCUCGGCAUUCCCAUGCCCCGUCGGGGAGCGGAGACUGGCCGUCCGUGCCCGAGCCCUCGGCGCGCGGUCGGCAGAAAAGGAGGGCACCGUGCGGCGCGACACGGCGUGUGGGGGUUGAGAGGCGAGCAGUCGCCGAUCGUACGUCGCGCCCGCAUUCCGCCGCGCGGCGCCGCCCGUGGGACCGGACUCCGCCCGCAGCCGCGGGCGCUCGGACCGCGACCCCAGG
rnacentral:rRNA from 1 species